AUUGAACGCUGGCGGCAGGCCUAACACAUGCAAGUCGAACGGUAACAGGAAGAAGCUUGCUUCUUUGCUGACGAGUGGCGGACGGGUGAGUAAUGUCUGGGAAACUGCCUGAUGGAGGGGGAUAACUACUGGAAACGGUAGCUAAUACCGCAUAACGUCGCAAGACCAAAAAGGGGGACCUUCGGGCCUCUUGCCAUCGGAUGUGCCCAGAUGGGAUUAGCUAGUAGGUGGGGUAACGGCUCACCUAGGCGACGAUCCCUAGCUGGUCUGAGAGGAUGACCAGCCACACUGGAACUGAGACACGGUCCAGACUCCUACGGGAGGCAGCAGUGGGGAAUAUUGCACAAUGGGCGCAAGCCUGAUGCAGCCAUGCCGCGUGUAUGAA
rnacentral:rRNA from 1 species